GUAGGUGGCAAGCGUUGUCCGGAAUUAUUGGGCGUAAAGCGCGCGCAGGUGGUUCUUUAAGUCUGAUGUGAAAGCCACCGGCUCAACCGGGGAGGGUCAUUGGAAACUGGGGAACUUGAGUGCAGGAGAGGAAAGUGGAAUUCCACGUGUAGCGGUGAAAUGCGUAGAUAUGUGGAGGAACACCAGUGGCGAAGGCGACUUUCUGGCCUGUAACUGACACUGAGGCGCGAAAGCGUGGGGAGCAAACAGGGAUUAGAUACCCUGGUAGUCCACGCCGUAAACGAUGAGUGCUAAGUGUUGGGGGGGUUUCCCGCCCCUCAGUGCUGCAGCUAACGCAUUAAGCACUCCGCCUGGGGAGUACGGUCGCAAGACUG
rnacentral:rRNA from 1 species